GACUCUGUGGCACAAUGGGCAGCGCAUUGCACUUCUAAUUCAAAGGUUGUGGGUUCGAGUCCCACCAGAGUCA